rnacentral:lncRNA from 1 species
CAGAAAAGAGCAGCUUUCGCUCAGCAAUUUACAAGCUGCCCCAAUUUGCUCCCACACUAGAUCCUUUUUCAUUGUCUUGCACAUUGUAUGCUAAUCCUGCAAUAAUUAUCAUGAGUCACUAUUCCCUUUGAAUUCAGUUUACCAUUGGGAUUGUCAAGCUUAGCUGUUCUAGCAAUUUAGCUUCUGAGAUCAACAGUUUUCUGGGAAGUGUACAGAGUCCCUCUUGACAGGGUAUCUUUCAGAUGAUAUAAAAUUCAUGCUUGGUUACAAGAAGUUCAAUUUUCAGGAAGCAAUCCCAGUCUCUGAAUCCAGAGAAAGUGAAUCAGAGUCGACCUCAUCUUCCCAAUGUUUUUCUGUACGCAGAAAUGUUUUGUGUCGAUUGGCCUUUUCUUCUGUUUUGAGAGGAGUGAUCCUGGUUUUUGAGAGGUGUGAGAGAAAGCAUAUUUUCUCUCUCUUUCACGCAAACUAAUCCCAAUUCUUAUCUUAGUUACAUCAACCAGCAAUCACUAUUCACAAGGCAUGACAAAGAGGAGGAAAACGGGUCUAGGAUGUACCGAGUCUCUUUUCAAAACACGAUUCAAUGAAGUCAGAAGCUGCAACAAGAGCUUCUAUCUAAAGAAAGUCGCAGUAUGCUUUACAUCUAGCUCUGUUGAUUAGUUCAGUCACAAUUAAGGAAAGAAUUCCAUACUCUCAAUUGCAAUCAGAAUGUACGCCUUGAUAGACAAUAUAAUAUUCAAAUGCAUACAUAGACGAACCUAUUACAUUUAUCAAUAGUAUAUCUCAAAUAACCGCUGGCAGAGAUUACCUUCAUUAUUACCUUCACCAAACUGCAAAAGGAGGACUUUGUUGUAUCAUGAAAUCGCUUUUGCUUUGUCCAGAUGGAGGAGGUAUAGUAUCACUUAGGGAGCCAAAGGGAACACUAGAGGUUUCCUCAGAUGAUAUGGCAAACAGUCUGGAGAUUCCUCGCUAUGUUUCUCGUUUCUGUACAGAUCCCUUCACUCUCUCUCUCUCGUCUCUCUCUCACUUUCUCUUCUUCUCCCUUCUUCCAACUCCGCUCUCUCCUCCUUUUCGUUUCUUCACAGCUACCUUUAGCCCAUCUCUGGUCUACCGGCAGUUCAAUCUUGCCCUUGAUACCCUCUCCGCCACACGCUAUGAGUCUCUUCCAUUUCGUGUAUGGCAUCGCUGCUCCCUUUGGCAGCAUUCACUAAUCGAUCCUUUGGCAUACAGACCAAUAAGAACCUGUAAAUGCAUUACCAAAAAGAAGCAUCUUUAUGCAGGGGAACCAUGCCCUACCGAGACAGAUACCGAGAAAGAAGGAGUAAAACAGGGCAGUUCAACCUAGUAAAAUGGGUUCCUCAGAAGAAAAAGCGUCCUGCCCAAGCAAACAAACAAUUAGUAGCACCACCACGAACUCUAUUCAAAGUGAUUGAAAAAGUCAUUGAAAAAGCGAGUGCAGUAAGAGAAACCAAUCCAAGAACAUAUCGAUCUGAGUACAGGGAAAAAACUAGGAAAAGAAACAGCACACACACAGCCAAUUCCAUGGGGUCCAGCAAGAAUGAGUUAUGACAGACGACCAAAACAGUGACAGAACCAGAAGCAUCGAAUUGGUCCAUCUCCUCUUAUCACUAACCAACGCCAGCGAAACAACAAAAACCCAACUCCACUCUCAGAGGAAUUUCAUCGGACGCCUGGUGGGCGCAAGUGGGGACGACCCCGGCGCACUGGAAGGCCGAGAUGCGGAGGUAGGGAGCGAAGCACGGGCGUCGCUUCGAGGGAGGGACGAAGGCUCUGUAAUUACACUAAACGCCACAAAAUGGGUCACUGAUAAUCGAUAUAAAACGGCUUUCAACGAUUUUGGAGGCACAGUAUGAUCAACAAUCACCCUGAGAGAGUGGUCAAUCCGAUUAUAGGAGUGGGAGCAGAAGAACCAAGCACUGAAGAGGUUCAGCAAAUAAAAAUAAAUAAAAAAUCAAAGUGGGAAAAUAGCUGGUGCACAAAGUGUGAUUCUGGUGAAGCAGAUCGAAAAAGUUCAAUGUAUUCUUGAUCCAGAGUGCUUAUGCGUACGCAAUAGAGAGCUAAUGCGAAAUUAAAGAGUAGUUGGUUAGAGGCCCCCAUGCAGUCAUUUUUUCUGUUUUCAAUGACAUUCUUC